ensembl:snoRNA SNORA73 Small nucleolar RNA SNORA73 family
CCAAUGUAGAUACCCUUCGAGGUCACUGUCCCCAGGGUAUGUCCUAGUGGCAUAGGGGAGCAUAGUGCCCUCCCCCGUGAUGUACAGUCCUUUUCCACGAUGUUGUUUAUGAAGCUUGGCUUUGAUUCUGUGCCUGUAUAUUCCUAUGAUUUUAUAGAGUCCUGUGGAUGGUGACUGAGGAGACAACCAUUGCAGGAAACAAAA